rnacentral:rRNA from 1 species
AGUGAACGCUGGCGGUAGGCCUAACACAUGCAAUUCGAACGGCAGCACAGUAAGAGCUUGCUCUUACGGGUGGCGAGUGGCGGACGUGUGAUGAAUACUUCGGAAUCUACUUUUUCGUGGGGGAUAACGUAGGGAAACUUACGCUAAUACCGCAUACGACCUACGGGUGAAAGCAGGGGAUCUUCGGACCUUGCGCGAUUGAAUGAGCCGAUGUCGGAUUAGCUAGUUGGCGGGGUAAAGGCCCACCAAGGCGACGAUCCGUAGCUGGUCUGAGAGGAUGAUCAGACACACUGGAAGUGAGACACGGUCCAGACUCCUACGGGAGGAAGCAGUGGGGAAUAUUGGACAAUGGGCGCAAGCCUGAUCCAGACAUACCGCGUGGGUGAAGAAGGAAUUCGGGUUGUAAAGCACUUUUGUUGGGAAAGAAAAGCAGCAGGUUAAUAAGCCGCUGUUAUGACGGUACCGAAAGAAUAAGCACCGGCUAACUUCGUG